rnacentral:rRNA from 1 species
AGAGCGAACGCUGGCGGCAGGCCUAAUACAUGCAAGUCGAACGGACCCUUCGGGGUUAGUGGCGGACGGGUGAGUAACACGUGGGAACGUGCCCUUUGGUUCGGAACAACUCAGGGAAACUUGAGCUAAUACCGGAUGUGCCCUUCGGGGGAAAGAUUUAUCGCCAUUGGAGCGGCCCGCGUCUGAUUAGCUAGUUGGUGAGGUAAAGGCUCACCAAGGCUACGAUCAGUAGCUGGUCUGAGAGGAUGAUCAGCCACACUGGGACUGAGACACGGCCCAGACUCCUACGGGAGGCAGCAGUAGGGAAUCUUGCGCAAUGGGCGAAAGCCUGACGCAGCCAUGCCGCGUGAAUGAUGAAGGUCUUAGGAUUGUAAAAUUCUUUCAGCGGGGACGAUAAUGACGGUACCGCAGAAGAAGCCCCGGCUAACUUCGUGCCAGCAGCCGC